UACGUAGGGGGCAAGCGUUACCCGGAUUUACUGGGUGUAAAGGGAGCGUAGACGGCAGUGCAAGUCUGGAGUGAAAGGCGGGGGCUCAACCCCCGGACUGCUCUGGAAACUGCACGGCUGGAGUGCAGGAGAGGUAAGUGGAAUUCCUAGUGUAGCGGUGAAAUGCGUAGAUAUUAGGAGGAACACCAGUGGCGAAGGCGGCUUACUGGACUGUAACUGACGUUGAGGCUCGAAAGCGUGGGGAGCAAACAGG
rnacentral:rRNA from 1 species